GGGUCAAGUGAACUAACCCAGCUGAAGUCCAGGGAGGGUUGAUGAUUAUGUCCUGGGCUAGGAAGUGCUGUUCUCAGUCAGCUGUACUUUCCUCAGUUUCCUACCCGCAGGUGGCUGGCUGACUUGGCUCCUUCACCAUGGAGCACACCCUGAUCCUGCUGCUCCCUGUCCAUUAGAAGAUGACAGAAAAGGUGCAUGAGAACAGUUAGAGAUAAUGUUUUAAACUCCACCGGGAUUUAGACAUGAUUCGUUAAGCGUCUUGAAAUAGAGAGAUUAUCGCGAACUGUCUGCAUGCGCUCAGUGUCGUAAGGGCCCUUGGGAAGAGGGAAACAGAAGAAUGGCUGCAGAGACGGGGAAGUGGACCAGAGGCCAGGGAGUGAGCAUGGCUGCAGGCUGGCAAGUCUGUCAGCGCAGAGGAAACGUGGGGAAGAGCUCCAUCUGCCUGUGAAAUCCAAGCUGUCUCUGGAAACCCAGGAAAUCUGGAAAAGGGAGCAUCGUGCAGGUCCCUUAGUAGCUCCACUAAAAACGUCUGCUUUUGUUAAAUAAACAGAAUCUGGCUGCCACAAACCUGAGUAUGACUGUGGCUUCGUAAAUGGUAUCAUCGCAUCUGGGCAGCACUUUGUUAAACUGAGAGGCUCCUCUGAAGUCCCCAACCAUACAGAGCGCCCCACCCAUUAUUUGAUGAAGAACAGCAGGACUUCAUUAAUUCAUUCUGCACGCCAGGGUACCGGACGGCACACCCUGCUUCUGCUGUACACUAAUGCAAGGUGAGGCCAGGACUGCUGUGCUUCGGGGCU
rnacentral:lncRNA from 1 species